UGCUGUAGCAGUUUAAGCAACAGAUGAACACAGGGCUCCUGUGUUUCCCAGGGGAAGUGACUGUUGGUAUUUGUCGUUCAUUAACAGUUGUGGUGUGCUAAUUAUCUUGAGAAAUAUCACUCUGGGGGGAUGGGCCAGCGCCUAUUGUCACAGAGGCCGAUAUCAUGAUGUACUAAACUACUUCCAAACAAUUUUGUUUGGUUGUGUUUACAACAUAUCCUGAGUUCUUCUUCUCUGAGUUCCUCUAUUCCAUGAAACCGAAUUGAACUACUUCCAUGCCACUUUAAGUUUCUUUUUCUCUGAAAUGAGAAGGCUGCAGAGACUACAGAGGAAAAGCAGGAAGCAUUGAACACACAGCAACAUCAGUCCUCAUAGUUGGUGCUCUAUUACUAAGUGUGUUCCUGAUUUUACAAGAAACUGUCACCAGCCAUGCCUGUAAAAACACUCAAUGAAUUGAGGCACCUUCGGGAUUCCCACUUUGGUCGCCCAAAGCCAAGGCAUGGACUUCGACUUCUGUUCUGGCUGGCUAAGGACUUCAUCAGCUUGCAGUCCAAUCAAAUGUUCACUAGAUCUGACCCAAAGAAUGGCUGUUUUGGUUUCCAUCACUUUUGCAAUAUUGGUGAUGUUGUUUAUGAUGAUGAUCGACUCCUUGAUCAGAAUAUUUCUUAUUAUGAGGUUGGCAACCUAAAUAAGGAAGAGGCCAAGAGCCUUCCUGACUAUGUCAGAGAACAUGACACUGGCAGGUGGGAUAAUAACAGCAAUAUUGACCGCAUUAUUCUAGGCAUUAGAUUUGACCGGUCUAUUAGUCAAAUCUUUGUGAUCCAGCAUUCGGACAACAGGAAUUUCUCCCGUAGUCACACCUAUCGCAUAAGCCAAGGCCUCAUAAGAGAUAUAAAGAAAUUGAGUUUGAACGAAUUCCUGGAACAGACUCAUGAAAGUGAGAUUAGAUAUUAUGCACAGCAGUCAGCUUUCAAUUGCGACAGCAGGCCCAACAGGGUCUGUAGGCCUACAUGUAUCUGCUGUACAUGUAUCAUCAUAGCAGUGCUUGUUAUUGUCGUCAUGGCCUGUUCUAGGCAUUGAGUGGUAAGACAGCUCAAUGGGGGUGGAGAUAAGGAACACUACUGCUGCAGCGGGAGGCCUUCUGGAGUAAUACACUCCAAACCCUGCAUCCCAGUGGCCCCAAUGAAGAGCUGGCUUUGAAAUGUUUUCUGCGAAGUUUUCAAGAAGAUGUAUGUAUGGGGUACAGCGGAUUUUUGGAUAAUAGUGAUAGUUAUUAAUGUAUGUUCAGGGUGCUGAUUAGGUGGUGGGAAGGGUCACUAUUGAAACUAUUUAUGACUGGAAGCACCCUAUAUGGCUCAGCCCAUCAGGUGAUUUCACAGGGCUCACCUGUAACUAUUUAAAAUCACAGCUGCUUUGAUUGCUAACACGCUGAUGAUGGCCUAGGGCUAAAACACAUAGGUUUGUUGAAGACAUGGUCCAAUAAAGACUCAAGCUAGUGCUUGAGAGCAGUUUUCAACUUUGUUUUCAGUGUUUUUCGAACUCGCACCCACAGAGGGAUUUUAAUUUUUGAGUUAAGCACGCCUGUCCUUGUAUUGUGCAGCUGGCAUUAUCUAAUAUUUUAAUUUUUAUGUCAGCUUGUGAACUUUUCCUUUCCUUUCUCUUGUGAGACUAACUAGGCCAUUUUUUUAUUAUUUACUUGUUUCACACUCUCUCACAUGCAAUAUCUUAACAAGACUACUGUAAAACUCUUUCACACAUAUUAUCAAAACUUUGACAUAUAUGCAACACUUUUUUACAUAUUAUUUGUGAUACAAGUUAGAUUUUUUUUUUUUAAAUAAAACUUUUCAUUUGUCGGAGUUAACAUUCUGAAACUAUUUGGAAUGACGAACGCUAAAUUCUAAAGUGUUUUGUUUAGCUUCCUGCCAGUUUCAAAAGGCAAAUGUGUGAGAGCUUACAUUUGUAAUUGGCAACAAAACUGUAUUUUGUGUGUAAAAACAACACAUAUUCACUGUUCUGAAAAAUUUAUGGGCUUAUAUCAAACAUUUAUGUUAAUUUAGUUUCAGUAGUUGGUUUUGUUGUUCUGCUUAUGUUUGAAGUUGUGGUUUCUUGGUCCGAGAUGGGGGGUUGAUUUAACACAAAAGUAUCAAAAGUCAUAACUCUGAUCAUGAUUUAUUUUAAAGACAGUCCUUGUGGAAAACAGAGGAGUUUAGAAAGGUACUGUUCCCUUUGUGAAAUCCUUUUGAUCUUUAACUUGGUAACAGAUAAGAGUAAGUAGGAGAAUAGGAAUGUUAUUUACAGUGUAAUUUGGAUGUCGUGGUCGAGGAUUGUGAGUUUGAAUAAAAUCUCCAUUGAAAACCUUU